UGGGGAAUCUUGGACAAUGGGGGCAACCCUGAUCCAGCCAUGCCGCGUGGGUGAUGAAGGCCUUAGGGUCGUAAAGCCCUUUCGCCGGGGAAGAUAAUGACGGUACCCGGUAAAGAAGCCCCCGGCUAACUCCGUGCCAGCAGCCGCGGUAAUACGGAGGGGGCUAGCGUUGUUCGGAAUGACUGGGCGUAAAGCGCGCGUAGGCGGAUCGGAAAGUUGGGGGUGAAAUCCCGGGGGCUCAACCUCGGAAUGGCCUUCAAAACUCCCGGUCUUGAGUUCGAGAGAGGUGAGUGGAAUUCCGAGUGUAGAGGUGAAAUUCGUAGAUAUUCGGAGGAACACCAGUGGCGAAGGCGGCUCACUGGCUCGACACUGACGCUGGGGUGCGAAAGCGUGGGGAGCAAACAGGAUUAGAUACCCUGGUAGUCCACGCCGUAAAACGAUGAAUGCCAGACGUCGGGGGGCUUGCCCUUCGGUGUCACACCUAACGGAUUAAGCAUUCCGCCUGGGGAGUACGGUCGCAAGAUUAAAAACUCAAAUGAAUUGACGGGGUCAUAGCUGUUUCCUG
rnacentral:rRNA from 1 species